rnacentral:rRNA from 1 species
CACGUAGGAGGCGAGCGUUGUCCGGAAUCAUUGGGCGUAAAGAGCGCGCAGGCGGCUUGGCAAGUCGGGUGUGAAAUCCCGGGGCUCAACCCCGUGACUGCAUCCGAUACUGUCAGGCUAGAGGUAGGUAGGGGAGAUCGGAAUUCCUGGUGUAGCGGUGAAAUGCGCAGAUAUCAGGAGGAACACCGGUGGCGAAGGCGGAUCUCUGGGCCGAUACUGACGCUGAGGAGCGAAAGCGUGGGGAGCGAACAGG